GGUCCUGGAGAAGAAGCCCCGGCUAACUCCGUGCCAGCAGCCGCGGUAAUACGGAGGGGGCUAGCGUUGUUCGGAAUUACUGGGCGUAAAGCGCACGUAGGCGGAUUGGAAAGUCAGAGGUGAAAUCCCAGGGCUCAACCUUGGAACUGCCUUUGAAACUAUCAGUCUAGAGGUCGAGAGAGGUGAGUGGAAUUCCGAGUGUAGAGGUGAAAUUCGUAGAUAUUCGGAGGAACACCAGUGGCGAAGGCGGCUCACUGGCUCGAUACUGACGCUGAGGUGCGAAAGUGUGGGGAGCAAACAGGAUUAGAUACCCUGGUAGUCCACGCCGUAAACGAUGAAUGCCAGACGUCGGGCAGCAUGCUGUUCGGUGUCACACCUAACGGAUUAAGCAUUCCGCCUGGGGAGUACGGUCGCAAGAUUAGAACUCAAAGGAAUUGACGGGGGCCCGCACAAGCGGUGGAGCAUGUGUUUAAUUCGAAGCAACGCGCAGAACCUUACCAGCUCUUGAC
rnacentral:rRNA from 1 species